rnacentral:lncRNA from 1 species
UGUCAUCUGUAUUGGUUUAAAGGGAACAAAUUGCCAUUUCCUUUUGUUUGCAUCUACUACAAGCUCUAGCGGUGCCGUGGGCAAAGAUAAGGUUAUGUGGGGAUUCCAGCUAUCUGGGCUGCAAAGCGGUGUGCUUUCUGGGAAGAAAUGCUGCAGGGCAGCAGAAAUACUUCUCUGUCUGCUCCAGAAUCUGGAGCAUUAAUACCAGCAUGGGAAAUGGAUGAGGGAGGAGCAUGCAGAGCCUGUGACCUGAAGGCUGAGCUCAAGGACACUCCCAGAUAAGUCCCCGAAGGCUUCCCUUUGCUCUGCCUGCCGACCUCUGCCCGCCCCUGAACAUCCCCGAAAAUGGAGAGAUCCACACAAGAACUUUUCCUCAACUUCAUGAUUGUCCUCAUUACUGUGUUGCUCAUGUGGCUCCUGGUGAAGUCUUAUCAGGAGUAAAAGACAAUCAGAAACUCUCAGGGCUGGUCUAAGCCUGUGUCUGCAGACACCAGUGAAACCCACCGCACACCUCUGUGAUCAGCUUUUGGUCAAUUCGGGAUGCCGUGAAUAUUUUUUUACUCUCUCAUCUCUGUUGCCUGUGCUAAUGUUUGUAAUGGGUCUAUGAUGGUGUAAUUAUUUUAUUCUGCAGUGAUCCAACUGUAAAAUGCAAGAUCCUUAGGAAAUGUCCUAUGUGGCUCUCCCCCAGUGGCCAUGUGAAUGCUGUACCCCUCUGCCCACGGUGCUGGCUUCUUUGGCGUCAGGGUAGGGUAUAAACCUGCAGCAUGCAAUGGAUCCGUCUGUGUUAGCCGGUAUAAAAGGCACAGGCUUGCUUAGCAGACAGGAAUGUGAAACUUCUGUUUUCGCUUGCUCUUGUUUCACUUAAAUAAAGAACAUGUAAACCCAUUAUUUUGUAGCUUUCCUGGUCUGACAGCUGUUCACUGGAAAACCUGAUAGGUGCAGCAUGGUACAUCACGAGGUCUGGCAGUUCGCUUGUUCCUCCCACCCACAUUUUUAUUUGCACUUUAUCAAAAAUGUCUGUAGAGUAAUAGUGCCAGUGCUGCAG